CGCUCAUGCACGAAAGCGUGGGGAGCAAACAGAUUAGAUACCCUGGUAGUCCACGCCCUAAACGAUGUCAACUAGCUGUUGGGGCCUCGGGCCUUGGUAGCGCAGCUAACGGUGAAGUUGACCGCCUGGGGAGUACGGUCGCAAGAUUAAAACUCAAAGGAAUUGACGGGGACCCGCACAAGCGGUGGAUGAUGUGGAUUAAUUCGAUGCAACGCGAAAAACCUUACCUACCCUUGACAUGUCUGGAAUCCCGAAGAGAUUUGGGAGUGCCCGCAAGAGAACCGGAACACAGGUGCUGCAUGGCUGUCGUCAGCUCGUGUGUCGUGAGAUGUUGGGUUAUCCCCGCAACGAGCGGCAACCCUUGUCAUUAGUUGCUACGAAAGGGCACUCUAAUGUGAGACUGCCGGGUGACAAACCGGAGGAAGGUGGGGAUGACGUCAAGCCCUCAUGGCCCUUAUGGGUAGGGCUUCACACGUCAUACAAUGGUCGGGACAGAGGGUCGCCAACCCGCGAGGGGAGCCAAUCCCAGAAACCUGAUCGUAGUCCGGAUCGCAGUCUGCAACUCGACUGCGUGAAGUCGGAAUCGCUAGUAAUCGCGGAUCAGCAUGUCGCGGUGAAUACGUUCCCGGUCUUGUACACACCGCCCGUCACACCAUGGGAGUGGGUUUUAACAGAAGUAGCUAGCCUAACCGUAAGGAGGGCGAUUACCACGGUAGGAUUCAUAUGACUGGGGUGAAGUCGUAACAAGGUA
rnacentral:misc_RNA from 1 species